rfam:Cavia porcellus supercont2_31 genomic scaffold, whole genome shotgun sequence.
GGGGAUUUAGCUCAGCGGCAUAAGCGCCUGCCUUGCAAGCAGGCAGUUGUGAGUUCAAUCCCCG